GAAUGUGCUGUGGCGGCACCUGUUGGUACUGUGGCUGUGGUACCGGGUCGUACCGCGGCUGUGGUGCCGGGUGGUACCGUGGAGGAACAGGCUCCUGCCGGGGUGGCUCGGGAUCAGCCUGCUGUAGCGGGGGCUCAACCUGCGCUAGCGGAGGAGGUCCCGGUAACUCCCUUCUCUCCUCUUGCCUUCGCUGGGCAGCUGCGAGAGCCUCCACCAUCUCGAAUAGUCUAUCUAAAUCCUCCCGAAGUGAAUUAUCUGGGGCCGCUCGGUUUAGUGGGGGCCUUCCUCUUCUCAUUCCCGUGUACCUGCAUUCACAAGGAAUGAUUGAGUAAUGAUAUAUCGGUGAGUAUUUCUCUAAGGCACUAUUGUGUAAGGGAUGGGUCCGAGGAAACCUGGCUCUGAUACCAACUGUAACAGCCCCGGUAAUUCAUAAUGGAAUGUAUAUAAAAAAAUAUCAAAUGCUGAAGCGAAGUCAAAAUUUGAAUAACA
rnacentral:lncRNA from 1 species